rnacentral:lncRNA from 1 species
AAUGGUUAACUCCGUUGCUGCCCCAUUCUCGAGCCCUUCUGAAGCACCCAAGGCUGAGGACUCUAAAAUCUGUUAUUCGGGUCAAGAAAAUGGAGCUCCACGUGCUGAAAAAGGAAAACUACACUGGUUCCUGACCUGUUAGCCUUGCACCAUUAACCUCAGGUAAAAAGAUUUUGAGUUUUUGGUUUAAAAUCUCCACAUGACAGCACCAAUCCUCAGGAGGGUGCGUUUGGCCACUAUUCGUUGGGAUGCAAAUAAAUUGUUCAUGCAGCAUCUCUUUCUUUUAUCAACGGU